AUUGAACGCUAGCGGGAGGCUUUACACAUGCAAGUCGAACGGAGUGGCGGACGGGUGAGCAAUAUAUCGGAACGUGCCCAGUAGCGGGGGAAAACUACUCGAAAGAGUGGCCUACAACGCAUUCUAUGAGAUAGGCCGAUAUCGGAGUAGCGUGUUGGUGGGGAAAAGGCUCACCAAGGCAACGAUCCGUAGCUGGUUUGAGAGGACGACCAGCCACACUGGGACUGAGACACGGCCCAGACUCCUACGGGAGGCAGCAGUGGGGAAUUUUGGACAAUGGGGGAAACCCUGAUCCAGCCAUCCCGCGUGUAUGAUGAAGGCCUUCGGGUUGUAAAGUACUUUUGGCAGGGAAGCGGUAUCUGCAGAAUAAGCACCGGCUAACUACGUGCCAGCAGCCGCGGUAAUUC
rnacentral:rRNA from 1 species